rnacentral:rRNA from 1 species
AGAGUUGAUCAUGGCUCAGGAAUGAACGCUGGCGGCAUGGAUUAGGCAUGCAAGUCGAACGUGCUCCUCGGGAGAAAGUGGCGAAAGGGUGAGUAACACGUGAGCAACCUGCCUCCGGAUCCGGAAUAAUCCAGGGAAACUUGGUCUAAAACCGGAUGAAGACAUUGGUCCGCAUGGUCUAAUGUUAAAAUAUUUAUAGUCCGGAGAGGGGCUCGCGGCCCAUUAGCUUGUUGGCGGGGUAAUGGCCCACCAAGGCUACGACGGGUAGGUGGUCUGAGAGGAUGGUCACCCACACUGGGACUGAGACACUGCCCAGACUCCUACGGGAGGCUGCAGUCGAGAAUCUUCCGCAAUGGGCGCAAGCCUGACGGAGCGAUGCCGCGUGAGGGAUGAAGGCCUUCGGGUUGUAAACCUCUGUCAUCCGGGACGAAAACAAUGACGGUACCGGAAAAGGAAGCCACGGCUAACCACGUGCCAGCAGCCGC